UACGUAGGGCGCAAGCGUUGUCCGGAAUUAUUGGGCGUAAAGAGCUCGUAGGCGGCUUGUCACGUCGGGUGUGAAAGCCCGGGGCUUAACCCCGGGUCUGCAUUCGAUACGGGCUAGCUAGAGUGUGGUAGGGGAGAUCGGAAUUCCUGGUGUAGCGGUGAAAUGCGCAGAUAUCAGGAGGAACACCGGUGGCGAAGGCGGAUCUCUGGAACGCAACUGACGCUGAGACGCGAAAGCGUGGGGAGCAAACAGG
rnacentral:rRNA from 1 species